AUUUGUGCACAGCGAACAUGCAUGCACAUGCUUUUGAGCAACACACUUAUUACACACUAUGUAAUUAUGACUACAGGUCUAUGCUUUCACAAAUCUUUGAAGAGAGGAAAUGGAAAGGUGGAAACUGUCCAGGCUAUGCAGAUUGAAACACAAGGACUUGCUCUGGUGCAACAACCACUUCUUCAAUCAAGUCUUCUACAUAAGUGUUUCUCUAAAAGAGAUUAAAUAUUAAAGCCAAUUUCACACAACUCAGAGCAGAGAGGUGGGGGCAGGAGGAGAAGAGUUAAAUUGAGAUCAAAAUGUUACUGAGAAACAGUAAAUAUAAAUAUGUACUGUAGUA